GACGAACGCUGGCGGCGUGCUUAACACAUGCAAGUCGAACGGAAAGGCCCUGCUUUUGUGGGGUGCUCGAGUGGCGAACGGGUGAGUAACACGUGAGUAACCUGCCCUUGACUUUGGGAUAACUUCAUGAAACUGGGGCUAAUACCGGAUAGGAGCUCCUGCUGCAUGGUGGGGGUUGGAAAGUUUCGGCGGUUGGGGAUGGACUCGCGGCUUAUCAGCUUGUUGGUGGGGUAGUGGCUUACCAAGGCUUUGACGGGUAGCCGGCCUGAGAGGGUGACCGGACACAUUGGGACUGAGAUACGGCACAGACUACUACGGGAGGCAGCAGUGGGGAAUAUUGCACAAUGGGCGGAAGCCUGAUGCAGCAACGCCGCGUGCGGGAUGACAGCCUUCGGGUUGUAAACCGAUUUCGCCUGUGACGAAGCGUGAGUGACGGUAAUGGGUAAAGAAGCACCGGCUAACUACGUG
rnacentral:rRNA from 1 species